CGAGCGAGGUAGCAAUACCUAGCGGCAGACGGGUGCGUAACAUGUGGGAAUCUGCCUUUUGGUUCGGAAUAACACGAGGAAACUUGUGCUAAUACCGGAUAAGCCCUUACGGGGAAAGUUUUAAUGCCAUAAGAUGAGCCCGCAUUUGAUUAGUUAGUUGGUGAGGUAAUGGCUCACCAAGACAAUGAUCAAUAGCUGAUCUGAGGGGAUGAUCAGCCACACUGGGACUGAGACACGGACCAGACUCC
rnacentral:rRNA from 1 species